rnacentral:miRNA from 1 species
CUCUGGAAGGAAGCACUUUCUG